GAAGGUAUAGCUCAGUGGUAGGGCACAUGCUUAGCAAGCAUCAGGUCCUGGGUUUAAUCCCCAGUACCUUCA
rnacentral:tRNA from 1 species